rnacentral:rRNA from 1 species
UACGUAGGUGGCGAGCGUUGUCCGGAAUUAUUGGGCGUAAAGCGCGCGUAGGCGGGAUAUUAAGUCUAUUCUAAAAGUGCGGGGCUCAACCCCGUGAUGGGAUAGAAACUAAUAUUCUUGAGUACCGGAGAGGAAAGCGGAAUUCCCAGUGUAGCGGUGAAAUGCGUAGAUAUUGGGAGGAACACCAGUGGCGAAGGCGGCUUUCUGGACGGUGUCUGACGCUGAGGCGCGAAAGCCAGGGGAGCGAACGGG